GCUCUCGUAGCUCAGUUGGUAGAGCGCGGCACUAGUACCUGAUAGCAAUAUCACUGCAUAUGCCGAGGUCUACGGUUCAAAUCCGUACGGGAGCA
rnacentral:tRNA from 1 species